UUGCCUCUUGCCACACAGAUGUUGCAGGCAAGUGUGAAACCCUCUGCUCUUUGCUUCUGUGCAGGUGCUGCAGGAAGAGCAGAAUGAGAAGAGGGCUUUAACAGAGACACUGCUCCAAACUUGGGGACAGCUCAGCCAAGCGUGCCAGCAGGUCCAGCAGCUCAGGCAGGAGGUGAAAGAGCAGCAAGAGAAGGGACAGACCAUCAAGGCAAAGCUGCAAGCUGAGCUGCAGGAAGCUCACAAUGAAAUGCUGGCAGUGCAGAGGAGGCACAAGGAAGAACUUCAGGGCAUCAGAGAGGAGAUGAAUGUCCUCCUUGAGCAGAGGGAUGCUCUACAAAAGCAGGCUGAUUCUGUCUCUGGAGGAAAAGAGCAUGGAUCUCAGAAUGCUGGAACAAAGGAA